rnacentral:lncRNA from 1 species
AACAACCCAAGGCUAUGAUUGUUUUUGUGAAAAAGGAAUAACCAUACAAGAAAGUAGUAGAAUAGAGUAGAAUGUUAGAUAAUUCUUACCUAGCUCAACAAUCUGAGAUAUUCCAUGGCCUUGAAAAAUAGAAACAAAAAAUCACUUGUUUACUAUGUGCCAGGCACUGUUUUAAUCAUUUUACAUGUAUUAAUUUAUAAUUUAUGGCUACCCUAUAAUAUAGAUAUGUAGUUUUUUUAUUAAAUUUUAUAGACUGGAGAGCUGAUGCACUGAGUGAAGCAUAGUAAAUGAGAGUCAAGGGUGAGAUCCCAGCAGUUUGGCUCCAGAGCCUACAUUCUUUAUAUUCUGUACAUCUUCUAUAUUUCUAUAAUCAUGGUAUGGAAGGGAUGAUGGAUUAAAAGUUGGUAAGUAAAUCUGUAUUUAUUUCUGAUCUUAGCAUUAAAUUAUUGUGUGAUAUGGGGCAAAUCACGUCACCCCCUCUGACCACAAUUUCUAUAUUCUCAACCUGAAAAGAUCUUGAGCCAUUUCUUCUGAUUCUCAGGGAUUAAAAUCUGUGGAACAUGCUUACUGCUCUCUUCAUUAAGCUAUAGUCUGGGAUUUGGAAGUUUCCCUAGCUGAAGACACUUUGCCACUAACACAUCAUUCUGGAAAAAUAUUUUGAUGUCAGAAAAGACUGUCAUUUUGGGCCAACUUAGAAAGGAACGCGGUAUUGGGAACGCUCAAGACUUUGUGAAAAGCAGUUAGCAGUUCAGUUUUCUUCUGGUGGAGAAUGCAUACACAAUGAAAAAGCAAGGCCAGCAUAAUUGUGUCUUAUUUGAUUCUGUCAUUCAAAAUCAGAGAGUUUGAUUUAGGACAUGCUGUUCUUGGGAGUUUGUACAAUUGCCCCUAUUCUGAGCACAAACCCUGCAUGAUACCUCUUAAAAAAAAACUAAUAUUUGUGCUACAUUUGAGCUUUCUCAGGCUUCUGCUUAAAUAUUAGGAGUAAUUUAAACAUCUGAUUUAAAAUAUAUAUUGUUAUGUUCAGAGAUAAAUAGCUAAGUGUUGUUUGUACAUGUAUAUAUUAAAAAUAGAUAUUAUGUGUAAAUAAUUUGGAAAACAUUAAUAAAUGACAACAAAGAUUAUUUUUUAAAUAGAAGAUUGAUAGCUCUCAUCAGGAAAGAUUAAUGUAGUUAAGCCAUUUGGUCAUAAAACCUUAGAGUGGAAAAUACCUUAAAGUGCUAUCCCACCCAGCUUCUUUUUACCAGUGAGUGCCCUCACAAAAGCCUUGUGGAUGAUCAUUUUAUCCUUGCUUGAAUAAUUCCAGAGAUUGAGAAUUCACUGGAUUUUUCGACAGCCCAUUUUAUUUUUGGACAGCUUUAACUGUUGGUAAGUCUUUCGUCUUAUAUCAAAAUAUCCCUUCUCAUGAUGUGUCUCCACUACUCUUUGCCUGGCCUCUGGAGCAAUGCCCAAGAAAUCUAAUCUUCCUCCACCUGACAGCACUUUGGACAGAGGGAAGUCCCAUUUUAUGUGACAAAAGCAUUCCUAAGACCCUCACAUAUUCAAAACUCAUGGAAAAUGAGACUAAUUCCGAUAAAAAUGGUAGUCAGUCUUGUUUACUGGCUAAUGUGGUGCUUCCGUGUAUCAAUAAGGUGAGUACAAUUCACUGGCCUACUAGAUUUUAACCUAUAUAAUUCUUGAUUAAUUUUUAACUGUGGAGAGUUGCCUUUAGAGAAUCAGGAGAAUCAUUUCAAACUCACUUAAAGAGGAAAGCCCUGUAUAUGAAGAUAACUGUUAAAUCAUCACAGCUUCUCUUCCCGAAAAACAAACCACUUAGUGUAUAAGAACAGUAACAGGCAUCAUAUUAGUCUACCAAAAAGUCCAUGGCACCUCCAUUUCUAGAGGUCUGUAAGAACAAGAAAAAUAGCUCUUUGGAGAGAUUCUUUGAUUUGCAUAUCCAGAAGCUAAGAAGUAGACCAGGUGACCCACUGAGAUUACCUAGCAUUGAUGGCAUUCUGACUCCUGCUCUCUGAGCUGAGGUUUCUUAGAUGUGACCGCACUUAACUGUUUCCAGUGGUAGAUAUAAGACACACCUAACAACAUACAGAUUUAAAAUAUGUAUGGUGGGCUUAGCAUGGUGGCUCAUGCCUGUAAUCCCAGCACUUUGGGAGGCCGAGGCGGGCAGAUCACCUGAGGUCAGGAGUUCAAGACCAGCCUGGUCAACAUGGUGAAACCCGUCUCUACUAAAAAUAAAAAAAUUAGCUGGGCAUGGUGGCACGCACCUGUAAUCCCAGCUACUCAGGAGGCUGAGGCAGGAGAAUUGCUUGAACCUGGAAGGCAGAGGUUGCAGUGAGCCGAGAUCAUGCCACUGCACUCCAGCCCGGGCAAUAGAGCAAGACUCUGUCUCAAAAAAAAAAAAAAAAAAAAAAAAUUUGUGGUGUAGUGGGAGUGCCAUAGCAUAUUUUGAUAUCUGUAUCUGUGUUCAUAAUAUAUAAUAUCAAAUAUCCCAAAACUGUUUGUCCUAACCUUUCAGCUUUGCAUUGGAGCCAAUCAUUACUUCUGUUGAAAAUACAUAUUUUAAUCUACAUAUUGUUAUAAAAUAUAUCCUCAAAAAACUCAUGAUGUAAAACCAUCAGAUCUCUCACUCAUUAUCAUGAGAACAGCAUGGAGGAAACCACCCCCAUGAUCCAGUUACUUCCACCUGGUCCUGCCCUGUACACAUGAGGAUUAUUACAAUUCAAGUGAUCACGGGGACACUCUCUGCAUGGGAUGAGCCACCAUUUUCUCACCUGGAAUAAAACCACAAGAUUGGCUCCUUAUCUACUUCAGGUUGAUGUUUAGAAGAUGUGUCAAAUGUGUGUGUGUCAUGAAGUUCAAAAUUCUUCAAAAAUCAAUGGUAAUGCUGAUAUGGCAAAGACGCUAAAUUACAGGCAGCAGUGGGAAGCUACUGAGUAAAAAGCACAGAAUCGUUUCAUAUAUGAGCCCAUGAGGAAUAUUCUGUUCAAGGAAUGGAGACAUAAGAAAAUUACCUAACUAACUCAUGAACCACACAUUAAGAACGUAGUCAGCUGUUGUAAAUGUGUAUCCGACAACAAACCAUUAUGUAUCUUUGGUUUAAUUAUAUGUGUUUAUUACACACCUGUACUGGAGAGUAAAGGCUGCUAUUUGCAUUACUUGUGGUUUUCUCUAUCAAAACAGCAUUAGCAUUAUGAAGCUUAUCAAGGUUAUGUAUAAUUUAUCUGGCUUGAGUAAGUCCCUUUAUUUUGUGCACAAUCAAAACAUGAUUAGGGAGAAAAAUUAGGAAAUGUUUUAAACAUUUUAGCAAAUAAUUUCUAAAUUUAGAAAUGUAGUGAAUUUUACAUUUCUAGACAAAUAUCAUCAAAUUACUAAGCCUUUGUAAAUCAGCCUAUGUUUAGAAAGAGAGUAAAAAUGUUAGAUGAAUUCAACACUUAAUUUUUUCCCCAGAGUUUCAUCUUAAAGAGUAUUAAUUGUAACGAUGCUGAUGGUGUUAUUAACAGAGUACUUAUGAAUAUGGAAAAAUGUCAGACUUCCAAAUAAUCUGAGAUAUGCUAUUUUUACAAGUCACACUAAAUAAACAAUCUAGACAAAAU